AUAGCGCAUAGUACUGUGAAGGAAAGGUGAAAAGGACCCCGGGAGGGGAGUGAAAAAGAACCUGAAACCAUAUGUUUACAAGCUGUGGAAGAGCUUUAUAUGCUCAACCGCGUACUUUUUGUAGAACGGUCCGGCGAGUUACGCUGGCUGGCGAGGUUAAGGACUAAAGGUCCGGAGCCGAAGGGAAACCAAGUCUGAACAGGGCGCAUAGUCAGUCGGAGUAGACCCGAAACCGGGUGAUCUAUCCAUGUCCAGGUUGAAGUUGCCGUAAAAGGCAAUGGAGGACCGAACCCACAUCCGUUGAAAAGGGUGGGGAUGAGGUGUGGAUAGGGGAGAAAUUCCAAUCGAACCCGGAGAUAGCUGGUUCUCCUCGAAAUAGCUUUAGGGCUAGCCUCAUACGAGUCUUGCGGAGGUAGAGCACUGAAUUCCUAAGGGGGCGUCAAAGCUUACUAAGGGAUAUCAAACUCCGAAUGCCGUGUAGAUGAUGUAUGGGAGUCAGACGAUCCGAGAUAAGUUGGGUGGUCAAAAGGGAAAGAGCCCAGACCAACAGCUAAGGCCCCAAAAUGUGUGUUAAGUGGAAAAGGAUGUGGGAUUUCGAAGACAACUAGGAUGUUGGCUCAGAAGCAGCCACACAUUCAAAGAGUGCGUAAUAGCUCACUAGUCGAGAGGUCCUGCGCCGAAAAUGUCCGGGGCUGAAACACACUGCCGAAGCUUUGGAAUUGAUGAAUUUCAAUUGGUAGAGGAGCAUUCUUAAAGAGACGAAGCAGUACCGGAAGGAGCUGUGGAUUUUUAAGAAGAGAGAAUGCCGGAAUGAGUAGCGAGAGGAAGGUGGGAAUCCUUCCGGCCGAAUAUCUAAGGUUUCCAGAGUAAAGCUGAUCUGCUCUGGGUAAGUCGGGGCCUAAGGCGAGGUCGAAAGACGUAGUCGAUGGAUAACAGGUUGAAAUUCCUGUACUAUCCUGUAACAGAACUGUGGGGACACAGGCAGAGAGCGUGAGCCGGGAAUGGAAAGACCGGUACAAGCGAGGUAGGAGAAGAGUUGGCAAAUCCGCUCUUCAAUCUGAAGACGUGAUGUGGACUGAAAAUAAGUAGGGAAGCACGUGAGCUGACUGUCAAGAAAAGCCGCUAUUGUUUGCAGGAUACCCGUACCGUAAACCGACACAGGUGGAUGAGGAGAGAAUCCUAAGGCCGACGGGAGAAGCAUUGUUAAGGAACUCGGCAAAAUGACUCCGUAACUUCGGGAGAAGGAGUGCCAGUAAGAUGGCCGCAGAGAAUUGGCCCAAGCAACUGUUUAGCAAAAACACAGGUCUAUGCAAAACCGAAAGGUGAGGUAUAUGGGCUGACGCCUGCCCGGUGCUGGAAGGUUAAGGGGAGAGGUUAGCGCAAGCGAAGCUUUGAACUUAAGCCCCAGUAAACGGCGGCCGUAACUAUAACGGUCCUAAGGUAGCGAAAUUCCUUGUCGGGUAAGUUCCGACCCGCACGAAAGGCGUAAUGAUUUGGGCACUGUCUCAACAAUGCACCCGGUGAAAUUGAAAUACCAGUGAAGAUGCUGGUUACCUGCGCCAGGACGGAAAGACCCCAUGGAGCUUUACUCCAGCUUGAUACUGGGAUUCGGUAUUGCAUGUACAGGAUAGGUGGGAGGCUAGGAAAUGGUAACGCCAGUUGCCAUGGAGCCAAUGUUGGGAUACCACCCUUGCAGUACUGGGUUUCUAACCAGCAGCCGUGAUCCGGCUGGGGGACAAUGUCAGGUGGGGAGUUUGACUGGGGCGGUCGCCUCCGAAAGGGUAUCGGAGGCGCUCAAAGGUUCCCUCAGAAUGGUUGGAAACCAUUCGAAGAGUGCAAAGGCAGAAGGGAGCUUGACUGCGACACCGACGGGUGGAGCAGGU
rnacentral:rRNA from 1 species